AAGAGAACAGUUCAAGUCGAACACAAAUACACUGGCUCAGUUUUAAAUUAAAAUCGUUGGCAACGAUCCGUUGCGUACAUCGUUUUAGGAAAAUAGCUCUUUUACCAUGGCGUAUGGAAUUUCAAUUUGGAAUUAAAACAUUAAAAAAAUGGCGGGUGGUACAGUUUGGACUCACGUAAAGUUCUGGGAUUUCAUGUUAGUGCAUUUCAUAUGUCAGAAUUUUUUUGAUGACAUGUGUAUCUUCGUAUGAACAUUAGACAGUAUGAGAACAUUCCAAGUUGUAAAUAUAUAAUUCUGAGUUACUCAACAAUUCAGUAUAGUAAUUUUAAUUGUAUACAAUGGACAAGGACAUUGAUGAAGCUGUAAAGGAGAAACACAGGAAAUUUCUUACUGGUGAAGUUAUGCAAAAUGUGAAUUCACUUUCUCAAGAAAAUUCAGGAACAAGCAAAAUUGGUCAUCAAACUAUUUCAGGAACCAAACAGAGUAGUGAAAUUAUGACACAAAAAAGUUCAAAACAAAAUAUAAACAUUUUGGCUGAAAGGAACUGUCCAGUGAUAGAAAUAAAAAAGUGUGAUUCUGAAUUCUAUCAUUGCAUGAAAGCAGUUAUUUCCAGAAGAUCUUAUCUCAAUGUAGAUACUGAGGAAAUAAAGGAAAAUUUAUCGCAGAAUGUAUCAACUCAUAAAAAAUGCAUUCAAAAUUUGUGUCUGGAAGCUGCCAAAAUGAAGAGGUACAAGACAAUGUCAUUAGUUCCUUCGGGGUCACUGCUUCAGUUGUUUAGUAUAUUGAAGGAAAACAUUAAUAAAGGAAUGGACAUGUUAACUACUAGCAAUGUUAUUAAAUGUUCUGUUAAACCAAACAUGGCUAAAAAAGAACUUACCACACUUGCAGACUCAGCACUAACAAUGCUGUAUAUUUUAACUUCCCCUGACAUCCCAAACACCAUUUAUAGUGAAGAUGUACUUGAACAGAUAGUAGCUUUUUUGAAGUAUCUAAUUGAAAUAUUUCACACUUCUGGAUUCGAGACAGAAAUAUGGGAAACAAAGAAUGAUGAAUAUGAAAUAUUGCAAGAAGCAAAUUUGUAUGAUAAACUUGAAAAAAUGCUGAUUCUUUUCUUGGAAUUAAUUGGUGGUGUACUUCUCCCAGAAAGUAUUGCACGCAGUAUCAUAUCAUUGACAAUUCAAGCAUGCUACUGGUGUACUCCAACAACGUUUAGUCAAAUUUUGUUCAAGUUGCAUGGCAAUAUGUUUUCAAAAUAUGAAAUACUUAAAAUGGAGAUGCUAGAUAAAAUUUUGGCCGCAAAUGUGAGCAUUUAUACUAGUAAUAAAAACAUCCCGAAGUAUGAAUUACUUUCAGGAGAAUCUAUUCAGCGGUCAAGUGCUCUUUUUCUGCAUGUCAUGCAUUGUGAUCUAUCUGUUCAUGAAUUCAGAAGGCACUGUUCAGAAUCAAAUGAAGGAAUUUAUCCUGGUGUGUCUAAACUACUAGAUAAAGUAACGGAUACAUCAACUUACUUCUUUUCAACACUGAUAGAUGUUUGUGCUGAAAAUGCUAAUGGUUGUCUUGGUGUUAUUGAGGAAUUUGUCAGAGACCUAUUAAUGUUGACCAGCAAACCAGAGUGGCCAGUUGUGGAGAUAAUGCUGAACACCUUGGGAGCACUGUUACUUUCUAAGCUACCAGUAGCAAUUGCAACUGCCUAUAGAACUUUGGCUGUUCACAUUCUUGGUCUAAUUGUGAUCAGCCUGAACAAGAAAGCCACAAAGCUACAGAUAACAUCAGAAAUAGAGAAGAGCAUUCAGACAUUGUUGCCAAAUGAUAAAUUAAAUGUUGAAGGAAACCGCAAAUAUGUUUUCCAAAAAGUGUUGCUUGGUUAUUUCUCAACACAUGCCAAAGAAGAUCAAGCUCGUCUUCUCCACUUAGCUAUGUGGUACAGAGAUGAAGUAAACAUUUCCAGUACCACCCAUUCAAAAAAUGAUGGGUGCUCAGUACCCUCUGACGGAAAGCAGAAGUGUGUAAUGUCGAGCAAAGAGAAAGAUGAUUUACUACAGGUAACUGUAGAUUGGAGACAAUUUUUGGCUAGCCAAAUUAAGGCAGAAACACUCAACCAAGACUUCAAUGUCAACUAUAAACAUAUGGAAUGUGUAUGCUGGGCUUUGUCAUUAUCAAGGUCUUAUUCUUGCAGCAUUUCUUCCUAUGUUAGCCAUAUUGUAUCCUUGUUGACUGAUGUCUCAAUUGUUGUUCGUACAAAAGCGAUAAAAUGUAUAGUGCAAAUUUCAGAAGCAGACGUAAGUAUUUUGCAAGGAAAGGAACUCCUCUCCGCCAUUGAAGUUUGCUUUCAUGAUCAGUCAUCUUAUGUACGUGAAUCAACUGUGGAAUUAGUGGGGAAGUUAAUGAUGUGUUAUCCAGAAAUGCCAGAAUUUUAUGAUUUGCUCAUGGCCCGAAUAGUAGAUUCAAACAUUUCUGUUAGAAAACAAGUUUUAAGAACAUUGAAAUCCAUUUGCUCUCAUUAUUUGAAUCCUACUAAGGUUCCAGAUGUGUGUUUCAAAAUGAUCAAGCGAAUGAACGAUGAUGAAAGUGUCAAGAAACUGGUGGUAGAAGUGUUUCAAGACAUGUGGUUUACACCUACAGACAUGAAAAGUAGUUUGUUUUUUCGGACUCGUAUUCUUGCAAGUGUAGUAGGGAUGUCUGAUAGCCUUGGUCUUAGUUGUUUAAGAGAGCUGUUCCACAGCAUUAAAGCACUACAACUUAAAGAAGCUACAAGGUCCAAACUUACUGUACCUGAGAGGGGUUGUGAACAGUUAAUUGCAAUAUUUGUUGAAAUUAUUAAGGAUAGUUCGACAGGGAAACAGUAUCUUUUGCAGUGUAUUACUGCACUUCAGUUGCUGUCUCAAGUGUGGCCACAGCUGUUGGUGAUGCAUUCAGGAGAAUUGAGAGCCUUCCUGUGUCAACAGUAUCAUGUCCCUGAGAACUAUCAGGUUAUAAGUAAUGUUGCUCAAAUUUUUGCUCACGUAGUGCCUUUCUUGAAGACUCCUAAUGAUUUUUUGGUGCAGUUGGAAGCAGACAUAGAAAACCUUGUAAUGUGUCAUAAUACAAUGGUUAUUGAAAACUGUAUGUUGUGUCUUGCCUCUAUUUACAAUAUUACUAAGAACCCUGAAGUUGUACACAAAUAUUUCAAUAGAUAUUUUACAUUCCUGUCAAAGAAUUUUGAUUGUACUGUGAAUGAACCAAUGAGCCCAAGGGUAAAAAAGUGUCAUAUGUUCCUCCAGACUGCAUUGUAUAUAAUUGGAUUGUUGCUCAAACACUUUGAUUUCACAGACAAUUCCAUUAAUGCAUGCAUGUCGAAAGAAAAUAAGACCAAGAUGUUUGAAAUAUUGCUGCAUUUCCUACAACAAAAUGAUUUGGUGAUGCAGAAGUAUGCACUGAAAGCUGUUGGUUCAUUUUGCAUCCAAAACAGGGAUUUACUGAUGCAGAUGGAGUUGAAAAAGUGUUAUAAGGAUUUUCUCAAGGAUGCCAGAACCCACGUAAGCAUACGUGCUCAAAUUUUGAAAAAUGUUGAAACUUAUUUAAUUAGUGAAGAAACCAAUUUGUCAAAAGACAAUAUUUGUAUGCAUCCUGCUGUGUCAAAGCAAGGAAGCUUGAAAAUGAUUGGUGAUACUCUUUCUGGCUUAGCAACAUGUGUAAUUCAGAGUGUUUUACCAGAAAUCCUGAACUCAUUCUUGUGUUUUGAUUGUGGUGUUCGGAGUACUGUGUUCAGCAUAGUUCAUCUUGCUCUCAGGCAAGGCCUAGUCUACCGACCACAAGUGCUUUCGCACGUGAUUGCAAUGACAACUGACGUUGACAACUAUGUAAGGUGUGGAGCUGAAUCACUCUUGAAAGAUGCUAAAAAACACAUUGGUGCACUUCAGAGCAAAUUUCAGUCUGGCAUAUACCUAUCCUUCAGCUUGCAAAAGAUCUUGCAAAACCAAGAGACUGUUGGAAUUAUUCGUGGCUUUUUAAUCAAGGAAGACGUUCCCAUUGCUAUGAAUAAUUUUAUGUAUUUGCUAGUUCGUCCUUUGAAGCAGUACAGAAAUACAUUCCUUUCUGUGUUAGUAAAAAAUUUUGAUAGCACAGCAAAUAAAUGUCUAUCCCAAAUGCUCUAUCUUGCUGACAACUUGGCACAUUUCUCGUACAGUACCCAAGAUGAAGUUUUGUUUUUGCUGAACAACAUCACUGUUGUCCUUUCAGUGUUCUGUUCAAGUCUGCUUGUGGUCUUUAACGAAAAGGUGAAAUCAGACCAAAGGAGAACUGUUAAUGUAGAUGGCUGUGAUGAAGGGAUUGCGCUGCAUUUGACCGAAAAAACUGAAGUGAUUCAGGAGUUUGUUGAUGCAUCACAAGGAUGCAUAUUGUUGUUGUUACUUAAAGAGCACUUACAAAAAAUGUAUGGAAUAAAUGAUGAAAAGUUACUUCAGUACACUGCUUCUGCGUCAAUAAAAGGUCGUGAGAGAGUUGUGAACAAGAGAGGAAAUUUUUGCUUUGAGCCCAGCCCUGUUAUCGAAAAGUUGAGGCAUCCUGGUAUGCAGAACAGUAGCCAGGAUGAUCUCAAACAGCAAGUGAUGUACAUUGAGCAGGUAAUUCUUCGUUGUGAACAUGGCGUUGGGAGAGACAGUGAGAUCUCAGCCGUCGGAACAAACUGUGAUGAUGUGGUUGGUGCUACCCACUCUCUUGCAACAGAGUUGAAUAACACUGUACAAAGUCCAGCAACAGUAAGUGGGCAAGAUAUUUCAAGAAAAUCUAGGCGUCUCCAAAGAAAGGAAGAUUUUCAACAUGACAUUGUUUGUUUAGAAGAGGAAUGUGUGUGUAAGAAGAGAAAAGUUGGAAAGGAAAAACAUUUACAAUAAAAUUCUAUGAGAUAAUGUACCUUAGUUAAGGUUUGUCAAAAGUAUUUGCUUGCUUUCCAAAAUAACUACAGUUCCUGUAAGCUGUAAAAAAGAUGGUUGGUUUGUUAAUGUGUAGCAGAAAUGCUUCAUUAGUGUACAUGAACUAUAAAUGUUAAUUUUGUUGUUAAUACUACUGUUAAUACUUUUUCAGAGUUCAAUUUUGUUCAAUACUUCAAAAGUUUAUGCAACAAUGUUAAGUUAUAUCAUUAAGAUUAUGCAUUACCAUUUAAGGGGAGUUAUGUUAUUUUUAAUGUUAUUCAAUUUGAAGUUGUCUAUCAUUAUGAUUUUGACUGUUAAGUUUUUGGGUAGAUUUAUUAUCCAGUGUAGGCAUUGAGUACGUCUGUGUUCUCAGAAUUUCUCGGAAAUCAUUUUCUAUUGCCACAAACCAUUUCCUCUGUGACAAAUUUUGAACACUUUUUACUUUAUUGCACCAAACAGGAAUAUGUUAAUUUUGCAACGUUAGCUUUGAAUACAGGACAUGUCUGAAUUUUAAGCUGUCAGUUUUCUUGACUAUUGUGUCAAUGUUUUCAAAAUUUGGAAGGUAUUUUUAAGGAUUUUAUGAAUUGUUGCUCAACUGAGAACUUCAACUUCAUGAAGUUUGUACAUAAUGACAAUAUUGGUGUAUUACCAGUGAAAUAGCAUUUUGCAUAAUAAUUUUGGGUCAUUUGCUACUUUAUUGCAAAAUAAGUGUAAUAUAUUUUUCUUGCUCAAACAUUACACUUUUUUUUUGUGGCAUAUUCUGACCUUUCAGUACAUUAAAAACAGUUUCUAAAUGAGUUUUUACAUUAAAAAAUGUAUGUUUUAUUUUAUACAGAUUGUUACUACCUAUAGCAAAUAAUUAAAGUAUAGUGUCAUCUCUUAACAGUGUCACAGGUGUCUGCAUGUGUUACCUAUAACUGCCUUAAUCCUGUGCCAAAUAACUACAGGUAGGCUGUGAACAGUCAUAGUGAUACUAUCCUUCAGAUGUAGGUAUGUAGUUACAUUUGUUUCUUCAAAAUAAUCAUAAUAUAUGUUUGAUGAAGCAACAGUUUUGUAAUAUGAUUCCAAAAUAGUACUUCCCUAUCUUCUUUCCCUCUUCACAUACUUUUAUGUUAGCAAUUUCUUUAAAUUACCUAUAGUUUUCAUCAAAUGUUUCUAUCUGCAUUAUCUACGACCACUUUUUAUUUUCUUCCAAGUUGCUAUUUGUGUUUGUUCAAAACUUAGGGUUAUAAUCUGUGUACAGUAUAUUGUAUAGAUGCCUGUUAUUACUUUCAUUGUCUACAGAUAAAGUAGUUGUCGGAAUCUUUUCAUUAAAUUAUUUGGUCUGCAUUUAGUUAGUGUUAUCUUAUUUUUUGUUUAUUUUAGAACAUUUAAAAAUGUAAAAAUGAAUCAAGAUAAUAUAGUAUAUUAACUACAUUACAGGUACCCCAGUUACCUCUAUAUAUAUAUAAGCAAGAUACUUAGUUUUAUUUUUCAUUUGUUGGUGUCAUAUAAGUGAGUGUAAGUAUUUUUUUACAUGCUAUAUAUUAAAAAGUUUUAAUUAUAUAGCAUAUCAUUCAUGCAAAUUGUGUCAUCUUUCCUCUAAAAUAGUAAAUAUGUGUGUCAAAUUAAUUGAACAUUUUUGUUAUGCACAAUCAUAUUUUACAAAUCACCAGUAAAAGUUUUUGUGUUAAAUCCUAAAAAAAAUAACUGUUUUUGUUGUUAAAGCUAUACUAAUGUUUUAUUUUACAUUUUCAUUAUCCCAAAUUUCUUACCUGAUGUUUGUUUGAUUAAAUUAUCAUCAUAGUUUCAAAAAGGAAAUAAAUAAAUAAUGUUAAGAAAUGUAUUUUUUUGGGUUAUGAAUAUGCUUAUAAGAAAAAAAUUUCAGUCUCAUCGCAUUGUUCUUAUUUAUUUCUAGCUCUACAUAUGAAGAGUGGAAAUGUCAAACGUUCUAAGUGCCGAUUUCUGAAAAAAUAGUUUUAUCUCACAGUACUGUUCUAUGUGCCUAGUUUCGUAUCCCAGCAAUGUUACAAGUGCCAUAUACACCCUGGAAGUAGUUCAAACACUCGACAACAAAUAGCGCCGGCCUAUGUGCCAAGCGGUGCUGCCGUUCGGUGUUCUAAGUGCCAAGCAGCAUGGAUUGUUAGUGUAUCAUUACCGUCCUGUUGUUAUGCGCAGUUACAAGCAUGUAUGAUAUUUUGUUGUGUCUAUAUGUGCUUGAGUGAAUGCAAAUUGAAUUAUUUUGUAAUGGAAGUAAGUAAUAGCAGUACGGGAAAGAAGAAAUGCACUUGGAGAGAUGAUCAAAACAAAAGGCGAAUAUCGGGACAAUCUUAUGCGAGGAAGAAAACAAAAACUGUAAUUCCUGAGAAACCAUCGCCGAAGAAUGAGGUUAGUAAUCAUUCAGAGUGAUACAAGAAUAAUGAUUUGGGGCUUAACUUUAAUGCAUCACUAAGACUACUACAUUUCAGUUAAGUUACAAUGUUAUGUGUAAUACAGCAUAUGCUGUUACGUGAAACAUUCUAAUUGUGUAUGUAAUAUUGUUUUAGACAACCUGUAAAUGCAGUUAUCAAUGCAGUAAUAAACCUUGGCAGUGGAAGCUAAAACUGUUUAAUGAUUAUUAUGGAUAACCAAGUGAAAACGAACAAGGAACAUACCUGUUAGGACUAAUGCAGGUAUUAGAAGCCCAGUACCAGCAGUCAGCAUCAGUCAUAAAAAAGUUCCUAAAGUGUUGAGAACCGUGGAUCGUGGCUGGAGGAA